CUACUUACCUGGCUGGGGAAACACCAUGACCACCAAGGCAGUUUUCCUAGUUGCCCCUGGGGAUGGCCGCUUUCCUGGCACAGGGUAGUACCCACAAAGGUAAUGUAGUUUUAAACCUACUUUAUGAAAAUGGGAGACUCCUCCCUAGCUUGCUCCUG
rnacentral:snRNA from 1 species